UCGCGAAAAUCCAGUUUAGGCGGAAACUGUCGUCCCUGAUUAGCCUGCGCGGAAUGCACUGGCAAAUCUUGGACGACACUUUUCGCACAUGCAUUAAGUCCCGUUUUACCAGAUUGAUGCUCAUUUACACUGUGGAUUUGGUAUGUUGAGUGCUUUCUAUACAUUUGAGCUCAAAAUCCACUAUUUAUUGAAAGAUCUUUGGGGUUUUAAACCUUAUCUCUCGCCAGGCAAUAAGCUCUUUUGUUUAACGCGCUCUCUUGUCUAUCUACAACUCAUUCCUAGGUUGUUUAUUUCCGAUUACAAGACACUAAUGUUUUAUUCGUGCAAUGCUUAUUUCUUUGUUAAGCGCAUUUCUAGCAGGUCUGGUUACCAUUGUGUCAACCAGUUAAAGCGUGUUUUUAUAGUUAAACUUUGUUCUACAUGUGAGCAUAACAGAUAGCUUUACCCGUGUAAACCAAGACGUACCUUUGAGCACACGCUAUAUUUUACAUAUUGAUAUAAAUUAUCAACAAGGAAGAAGAAAACUGAUAUUUCUGUCCUGUUGUAAGAAGGUGGAUAAAUUACGGUUCUCUUUUUGGUUUAAAUGCACGUUUUGACAUUUUGUUUGGCUGUUAUUUCCUGAAAAAUGUAAACUAAAUACAAGGAAGUACAUUGGGAUCAUAGGCGUAUGGGAUAAUUAUUAUUAGUUCGACAGCAAAGUAUAUUUCUUUUUGAAAAUAUUUUACGUGUCAUGAAAACUGCUUGAAUAUUGAUUUUAAGUAUUAAAAGGCAUGUGAACUGAUACUCAGGACUAUUUCUGGAAAUCAGUUAUACUUUAAGUUUGGACACGAGUGUUAACGCUGACGUCAUGAACUGGUCGAGCGCCUCCUACAGAUUGGAUGAACUAGAGCGGAUGAUCUCAUUCCCGUGCGUCGUGCGACUUGCCGAAGGUUUUUGCUCGGACAGCGAAUCGAAAGGAUUCUCUAAAGAUGACAUCAUCGGAAUAGACAGCAAGUUGGUCUUACACAAGGUGGCAGCACACUUUGCGAACAGGCUAUCUUGCCCACGGCCGACUGAAGACGAGUAUGAUUUCGGAUAUGAGCGUUCAAGCGAAGAGAUUUUGGUCCCCUUAAAUUACAAGGGAAAGGCAAAAGUCCAGACAUGCACUGGGAAGACAUAUACGACAGUAAAAGGUCUAAUUGCCGACUUUCCGCGCUUUGCGAAGAUCUGCAGGACACUGAAAGCAAUAUCGGCUGACGAUCAGCCGAUAAACUUACCUGGAGGAACAACAAUUGAACUGGACCGUAUCUUUCCAGGAAGGGACACAAAACCGGACUUUGUGUGCAUAAACUUAAACGUUGCCGGUAAGCCGACGUACGCCAAGGUGGCCGUUACUGAACGCGCUGAGAUCCGAAGCGAGUCGGAUGAGACUGAGUAUACGAUAAAACAAGUCAUGGGCAGAUUCAAAAUGCCACAAAUAGUGAAAUUCGUUGACGAUGAUAUUCGCAAGGUUUACAAACAAGACUUGGUGGAGGGCAUUGAAAACAUGCGAACGAUCACAGAAUAAGUGUCCGAGAUGUACAAGUCCAAAUGUAAACGACCAAAACGACCUAGUUCAAUAAUUAUGUAUGUGAAUCCAACACAUGAUCUCUCUUGUAUUGGCAGUCUAGUGAGGUCACAGUAGAGACAGCGCUAUCUACCAUUGCUCAGUCAUCUGAGAUAAAGGUUUGCACAUGGAUAUACAAAAUAUCAUGGUGGACAUGUACACAGAGUUGAGUACCAAAGGAAGAGGUCAGAAAUAUGCCUCUAGAAUGCAAUUACACUUAUCUCAAUUAGUGUAUGUCUACACUCUAAAUUGAGGUAUGUACUCUGCGUAUAGAUGAUCCAUAACAUAGAGGAUCUAUUUUUCAAACUUGUCCUUAAUUUAAAAGAGCAGAGCAAUGGUUGAGUGUACAGUUCCAGUUGCAGAUGAUAAUGAUCUUAAAUGACCAGGGACACUCUGUCCAAACUGUGACCACAAAAGGGUGUCAAUGCACAGUAGAAACAUAGCACACAAUAGUUUGAAAUAGUAAAAAUGCUGCAUGUUAACAUGGUUUACAACGCUACAACUGAAUCGACUGGUUACCCAAAACGUCCUCGUUGGUCAUUACAAGGCCGUAAAAGGGAUGGAGACAGUCGACACAGACAGUUACAGAAAGCGUACACUGGUAGUCUUGCCCUUGGACCACCCGGAAAUCCGUGAAAUUGAGGUCAACGUUUUGGAGGACGACGGCGAUAUUUCAGAAAUCUAUGAGAAAGUGUUCAGUGUUUCAAACAUCUCGAGUUCGCUGGACGUUGUGGAUACAAUAUACGUCGAUUUCUGGAAAGAACCUCCUUCUCCAAAAAUGUUCAAGCUUGAUACGCCGGUUACAGCCCAUCACAAGCCAACCGUACUAGAAGAUAAACCGCAACGGCCGCCGCCGCCGCCGCGACCCGGAAAUCCUGGUCCCCCAUCAGGUGCGCCUCUAGAAGUACGCCGAAAGGUUGCUGCAAAUACUGCGAGUGUCAAGCCGAUGACAUCAAAUGGUUCAACGGCGCAGACCCAAUCAAAAUGUAAGCCUUUCAUCGAGCUUAACUACAGAGAACUCGUUGAAAGAUUGAAUCUGUGUAAGAUGUAUGACUUGGCGAAGGUCUGUGAGGAAUGCCGAUAAGACGGCGGGUUCUUUAAGUCUGUUACUGCUAGCGAUCUGGAAUCUGCGCUUCAUUUGCAGAAAGUAGAUUUGCUGAAACUUUUGCAAAUGAGGGACGAAAAAUGGAUUCCCAUUGACUGAAAUUAGUAUUGUGAAACUUUGAGUACAAGUCUAAAGAUGUUUGAGCGUAAGUCGUAAAGUCUAUGUACCGCUUUUUGUUAUCCAGAUAUAAUACAGUGAGCAUAGAUUCGUAUAAAGACUUAAUUUAGCGCAUGUAAAAAAUAUUAGUAUCCCAUUAUUAUUUACUUUGAUUUCAUCAGCUAAUUAGGUAAUUUCUUUGUUAAACCGCUCCAAAUUUAUUUUCAAUUAUUGAACAUGGCAUCCUAUAUCCUUUCAAUCGAUACAUGUAUUUUGCUGUGUAUUUUGAUUUUAAGCUGUAUUCAAAGAUCUUGACGUGUACUGAUUUCUAUUAUUUGCGUAAUA